rnacentral:rRNA from 1 species
UACGAAGGGGGCUAGCGUUGUUCGGAAUUACUGGGCGUAAAGCGCGCGCAGGCGGUUCUUCAAGGCAGAGGUGAAAGCCCAGAGCUCAACUCUGGAAUGGCCUUUGAGACUAGAGAACUUGGGUACGGGAGAGGUGAGUGGAAUUCCGAGCGUAGAGGUGAAAUUCGUAGAUAUUCGGAAGAACACCAGUGGCGAAGGCGGCUCACUGGCCCGUUACCGACGCUCAGGCGCGACAGCGUGGGGAGCAAACAGG